rnacentral:rRNA from 1 species
AGCGAACGCUGGCGGCAGGCUUAACACAUGCAAGUCGAACGGGCAUAGCAAUAUGUCAGUGGCAGACGGGUGAGUAACGCGGGGGAACGUACCUUUUGGUUCGGAACAACACAGGGAAACUUGUGCUAAUACCGGCUAAGCCCUUACGGGGAAAGAUUUAUCGCCGAAAGUUCGGCCCGCGUCUGAUUAGCUAGUUGGUAGGGUAAGGGCCUACCAAGGCGACGUUCAGUAGCUGGUCUGUGAGGAUGGGCAGCGACAUUGACACUGAGACACAGCCCGGAAUCCUCCGGGAGGCGGCAGUGGGGAAUAUUGGACCAUGGCGGAAAGCAUGAUGCAGCCAUGCCGGGUGAGUGCUGAAGGCAGUAGGGUUGUAAAGCUCUUUUGUGCGGGAAGGUAAUGACGGUACCGAAAGAAUAAGCCCCGGCUAACUUCGUG